rnacentral:lncRNA from 1 species
UAUCAGAUCUAACUGUGUAUCACCAACACCUGAAUUAUUUUACUUUUCUUCAUCUUCUUCUCUCAUCUUCAUAUUCAUACAACCUUCAUCAAUCUUCAUCAUCUUCAACUCUUUUUUUUUUCUUUCAAAAAUUCAUCAUUUCAACUUCAACAAAAUCCAAAAAAUCAAACAUUUAAAUUUAUAAUUAACACCACCACCAUCAUUCAAAAUCGGAUCAUCAAAGUCCAAAACUCAUUAACUCCAAAAAGAAACUUUCUAUCACCAAAAUCCUUCCCUUUCACCAAAAGAUAUAGAGGGAAGGUGUUUGAUGUUA